rnacentral:rRNA from 13 species
GCUGAGAACUCUAGGGAGACUGCCGGUGACAAACCGGAGGAAGGUGGGGAUGACGUCAGGUCAUCAUGGCCCUUACGGCCAGGGCUACACACGUGCUACAAUGGUGCGUACAGAGGGCUGCAAACCCGCGAGGGGGAGCUAAUCUCACAAAACGCAUCGUAGUCCGGAUCGGAGUCUGCAACUCGACUCCGUGAAGUCGGAAUCGCUAGUAAUCGCGAAUCAGAAUGUCGCGGUGAAUACGUUCCCGGGCCUUGUACACACCGCCCGUCACACCAGGGGAGUGGAUUG